GGCGUUGUGACAGAGUCGACGACUAUCGGGCCUGAUAUAGCUAUUGACUGUAUAAAAUUUUGUAGAAGCAGUCCAAGUAAUCAGAUUCGAGCGGAUUAGAGCAAGAUUCUAAAGGAAAAGCUGUAAUUGAGCAGUGAGUGGCCUGGGAAUUUGAGAUCCAGGUACUGGCCAAUAGUAGAGGUUGUUAGAGCAACUAUCCAUUCCUUCGGAGACACGAGGUAUAUCUGCCGGCGUCCGCGGAUCUCAAGAGUCUUCUCUAUAUUAUUUAGACUACUGUUUUAUUUGAUUCAAAACAGUUAUACAUUAUUUCUUCCAGCCCAUUAUUUGUAGUAUUCUUUAGUAGUUCGUGAGUUGUAACACCAGACCCUGGGGUAGUUUUAAG